UACAGAGGGUGCAAGCGUUAAUCGGAUUUACUGGGCGUAAAGGGUGUGUAGGUGGUUUGACAAGUCGGUUGUGAAAUCCCUGGGCUCAACCUGGGAACUGCUUCCGAGACUGUCAGACUAGAGUACGGUAGAGGGCGGUGGAAUUUCCGGUGUAGCGGUGAAAUGCGCAGAUAUCAGGAGGAACACCAAUUGCGAAGGCAGCUCGCUGGGACGUUACUGACGCUGAGACGCGAAAGCGUGGGGAGCAAACAGG
rnacentral:rRNA from 1 species